UACGGAGGGGGCUAGCGUUGUCCGAAGUUACUGGGCGUAAAGCGCGCGUAGGCGGGUUGGUAAGUCCGCUGUGAAAGCCCGGAGCUCAACUCCGGAGGGUCGGUGGAUACUGCCAGUCUUGAAGGUGCUAGGGGGAGAUGGAAUUACCGGUGUAGCGGUGAAAUGCGUAGAUAUCGGUAGGAACACCAGUGGCGAAGGCGGUCUCCUGGGGCAUUCUUGACGCUGAGGCGCGAAAGCUGGGGGGAGCAAACGGG
rnacentral:rRNA from 1 species